CAAGCAACGUUAUGGACACAAUAAAGGCGUGGCUGUUGACAGACGUACGACAAAGAACUGUAGAAUCCAUGUGUGUGUUCAAGCAUAUUAUCUGCUUGAUGAAAGGAAGUCACAAUAGAUUAAGUGAUUUCUAUACUUACAAACAUAAUAGCAACGCAAAGAGAUAACCAGCAACGCUAAAUCUUGUUAAAAAAUUUUAUUUCGUAAGCAGUUUCAUUAAAAAAUAAGUUUCAAGAUAAACUGAGAUCCAUGCUUCAGGCAAUAUCCUGCAAAUAUCAACUUUUUGGCGUGGGCGUCUAGACAAAAACCAAUUCAUUUGACGGAACAAAGUGUUGCUGGCAAUUUGACGAGCAACAUGAUUACAUACGUACAUUAUACAACAAAAAUACAUGUAAACUAAUAAAAACAAGUAUUUGAAACGAACUCUCAUUACCACUGCAGCGUUGCAUUCGGCAUUGAAAAGAGAAACUUGCCGUAAGCGAGAGUGCUAAAUGCAUGGGGUUGGAGUGAAAUUAUCAAAUCAUCACGUACCAAACACGAAACAACUUUACUAUAAUGAAAUCAUAUAAAUUUACCUGCACGCUGAGAACAACAAUAAAAACCAAAAAAAAUAUAUAUACAAAACAGAAAAACUUGUCGAAAGGACUAAAUGAAAGAAGUAAACUGCGGCUUGGAGUAAGAAGAGCCACUAUUUUGGUAGUGCGAAAAGGAGUGUGGAAUUUUUGGGAGCAGCUGAGAAAGUUGAAAAAUUCACCGCAAGCAAACCAAAAAACAAAAUUUCGAAAAAUAGAAAAAAAUAUUGUUUUUGAACUUUGCCAAUAAAGUUGUGCUCGCUUCCACCACCGCAGUUAACCAAUAUAGAAAGCGCCUAGUUUUUGGUGGAAAAAUAGUUUGCGAGUUCUGUGCGGCGUGGCUGGCAGACUCAAGGACAACCCAAUUUAAAAGUUGAAUUGGAUUUCUUGCGCAAACUGUGCAAAAACUAAAAUAAAAUACAAGAAAAAAAUGCCGUUGAAGCAUUUUGAGUAUAAAAGUUAAAAUAGCUUAAUUCCAUUUAGUGCUGCUAGUUUUCCCAGCAGAUGCUGGCAUUUCAAGUGCAAGCCUUUGCCGGAAGUUUUUGUGAAAAAAUUAAAGCUUUUAAUUGCAGAGGAGGUGGAAGUGGAUUUAAUGCCAUUAUUUCCACUUUGCUGAACGCAUAUUGAAAAUGUUGCUAAAGAAGAAAACGAAAAAUAAUUAAAUUGUUGUGAAUACUGUUUUUGUGCUUUGAAAUUAUUAAAUUUAAUUUUUGUAAUUUUUUAUAAAUUUUUAAAAUUUUCUAUAUUUUUUUAUUCAUGUGAGAACAACACAUUAACCCUUAUACAAAAUAGUGGCGCUCAUGCAGCGAAAUCGAUUGAAAUUUAUUAUUUUUCGUUUAAAAUUAAUGCACAAGUUAAGUGAAGCACCAAAGCACCGUAAGGAAAGCAGUAAUUCUUCAACGCUACAAUUUAUUGCAUGCGUCAAUUUGGCCAAAUGUAAAAACAAAAGGCACACUAAACGCCUAAAAAAGCCAAAAAACAUAGGCAAAUGAGCGUGCCACACAGAAAAUUGUCACAUUCUUAUGGAAGACACACACACAGCGGCAUAGAGCCGCAGACAAUGUCGUCGUCGUCAAUGCGAGCAACCAAAGACAUUGAUAGACAUGCACGCGCAUAGACACACACACACAGAUAUUUAUGUAAGUUGGUGCACAUGGACAUUUUGGAUGGGUGGGCGGUUGGCUUUGAGUGAUUUAAUACCAGCACUAGACAUGCACACGCACAGCAACACCAACAGCAACAACGCGUGCUGCACACACACUUGCAACUAGGAAAUAACGAUCGCAACGAUAAUGGCGAUGGCGAUGGCGCUGGCGACGACGCCUGAGUUAAGUGAAAAUUGCGCGCGGCAAAGGAGAAAUGUGCAGGAGGGUAUACAUACAUACAUAUGUACAUGCAAACAUGCAAAUUGCGGCAUGAAUAUAAAAUUUCGAGAUUUUUAUUGCCACCUUUCAUGGGCGUAUUCAAAUUGCAGUCAAAACAAGGAGACACUCAGUUGACUGGUUCAAUGCGUAGGUGUCGCGCGCUGGCGAAAUGCCGAAUGGGAGCCCAUUCAAGGAGGUGAGGCCGAGUGGCGGCACAGCAGCAGGCGGAUAAGACACAAAUAGCUAAGCAAUCAAGUAUGGAGACGGCAGUGCGACAGCAGUGUGGCAAGAAAACGUGCAAAGGCGCCAGCCAAGCACACAGACAGACACGAAUGGAUAUUGAAUGCAGCCAAAUGCUUAUAAUAACAACAGCAACAGCAGCAUGGAGACAAGUCAGCAACGGCAUACACCCACAUGCUGAUACAACAACAACAACACUGCAGCGCAUUGUUGCCGACAGACGUGGCACGCUUUUGUUGCACACUCAGUGUAUGUCUGCCGGAAAGGAUUUAUGGUGAAAUUUUAAUGCAGUAAAAAAUGCUAAUCAGCUGCCAGCAACAACAAUACACAC